GUGAAAAAGAAGAGGCUGUGUGUUAUACAUAUAGGGAUAAUGGUUGGGUAGUUUGGUCAUUUUAUUUUUGAGAUAUCCAUCGUUUUUUUUUUGUAAAUAAAUGUUUUUCUUUAUACUAAUGGACUUUGGUAUUUUGGUCGUUGGAGUCACGUGGUAUUUUCAUCGGCUAUAUAAAGAAGACUAAUUUGGUGAUCCGGUGAAGAUGAAACUCCGGCACGGUCAGCUUUCUUCAUUACGACGAAAGAGUAGUAGUGGAAGUGGUUGUUACGUGAGCUAGAAAAUUCAAAAUAGACUAAACUCGUUCGAAUUAUUGGCUCGUCCGUGCCGACAGUAUUCAUGAGUCGUUCAUUCAACUGUCCCUCGGAGACAGGGUCGAGAAUUACCAUGCAUGGUUGCCCAUCUGUUUUUUAUUUCUGUCGAUCCUACCUAAAAAGAGAUUAAACUAUGGGCCUAUCCUACAGUAAUGAACAAGGAAGCUUGACUGAGGUUCUUCUAGGGUUAG